rnacentral:rRNA from 1 species
GGAGGGGGCCUGCGUCCCAUCAGCUAGUUGGUGAGGUAAUAGCUUACCAAGGCGAUGACGGGUAGGGGACCUGAGAGGGUGGCCCCCCACAAUGGAACUGAAACACGGUCCAUACACCUACGGGUGGCAGCAGUAGGGAAUAUUGGUAAUCUGGGAAACCGGGAACCAGCAACGCCGCGUGCGCGAUGACGGCCUUCGGGUUGUAAAGCGCUUUUUAAAGGGAUGAGGAAGGACAGUACCUUUAGAAUAAGCCUCGGCUAACUACGUGCCAGCAGCCGCGGUAAAACGUAGGAGGCGAGCGUUAUCCGGAUUUACUGGGCGUAAAGCGUGUGUAGGCGGUUUGAUAAGUUGGAUGUGAAAGCUCCCGGCUUAACUGGGAGAGGUCGUUCAAAACUGUCAGACUUGAGAGUGGUAGAGGGAGAUGGAAUUCCGCGUGUAGUGGUGAAAUGCGUAGAUAUGCGGAGGAACACCAGUGGCGAAAGCGGUCUCCUGGCCCACUUCUGACGCUCAGACACGAAAGCUAAGGUAGCAAACGGGAUUAGAGACCCCGGUAGUCUUAGCUGUAAACGAUGUUGACUUAGUGUCGGUGGGGUUAAAUCCAUCGGUACUGUAGCUAACGCGAUAA